rnacentral:rRNA from 1 species
GUUGAACGCUGGCGGCAUGCUUUACACAUGCAAGUCGAACGGUAACAGGGUGCUUGCACCGCUGACGAGUGGCGAACGGGUGAGUAAUGCGUCGGAACGUGCCGAGUAGUGGGGGAUAACGCAGCGAAAGUUGUGCUAAUACCGCAUACGGACUGAGGUAGAAAGUGGGGGACCGUCGGGCCUCACGCUAUUCGAGCGGCCGACGUCGGAUUAGCUAGUAGGUGAGGUAAAGGCUCACCUAGGCGACGAUCAGUAGCGGGUCUGAGAGGAUGAUCCGCCACACUGGGACUGAGACACGGCCCAGACUCCUACGGGAGGCAGCAGUGGGGAAUUUUGGACAAUGGGCGAAAGCCUGAUCCAGCCAUGCCGCGUGUCUGAAGAAGGCCUUCGGGUUGUAAAGGACUUUUGUCAGGGAGGAAAUCCCUAGUGCUAAUAACACUGGGGGAUGACAGUACCUGAAGAAUAAGCACCGGCUAACUACGUGCCAGCCGCCGCCGUAA